rnacentral:rRNA from 1 species
UGGGGAAUUUUGGACAAUGGGCGCAAGCCUGAUCCAGCCAUUCCGCGUGAGUGAAGAAGGCCUUCGGGUUGUAAAGCUCUUUCGCAAGGGAAGAAAACUUACCUUCUAAUAAAGGGUGAGGCUGACGGUACCUUGAUAAGAAGCACCGGCUAACUACGUGCCCGCAGCCGCGGUAAUACGUAGGGUGCGAGCGUUAAUCGGAAUUACUGGGCGUAAAGCGUGCGCAGGCGGUUUUGUAAGUCAGAUGUGAAAGCCCCGGGCUCAACCUGGGAACUACGUUUGAAACUGCAAGGCUAGAGUGUAGGAGAGGGGGGUAGAAUUCCACGUGUAGCAGUGAAAUGCGUAGAGAUGUGGAGGAAUACCGAUGGCGAAGGCAGCCCCCUGGGAUGAUACUGACGCUCAUGCACGAAAGCGUGGGGAGCAAAC